AGCUGCGUCCUGCGGGUGUUGGUUCUGUUUCCAUCCGCUCCCCCUCCUUCCCUCCAGCCGGGGCCAUGUCCCCAGGCUUGGGGAUUCUCUGACAGUGACCACCGGAAAGUCCCAGCACCCAAGCUUGGCUGAGUCCUUGGGAGCCCUACCCGGCUGCAGCCGUGUCUGCUUUAAUAAAAUGCAAAACACUUCAUUUCUUUUUCAAUUUAAAAGGAAAAUGGUUCAUCUCAAGAGUUCAUCUCAGGAGACAAGGACUGUGCCGAGUGUCGCCUCCUGCCUGGAGUGACCCUGGGCGGGGACCCCUGGGUCUGCCGUCAGCCAGCAGAGAGAGGGAGCUGCACCAGCCUCUCACAUGAGCAGGAGCACCUAUGGAGCACCUGCUGCAUGCAGUGGGGGCAGGGAAAGAGGUGAGGCCGCACCUGCUGGAGGGGGACUGAAGGGCGAGCAGGGUCUGGGGGUGGCUCUGAGGGUGGAGAGCACACGGCGCCCGGUCUCUCCGCAAUGCCAUCCUUCGUGGCCCUGGAUGUGCUCCCUGCCUCGGAUGUCACCUCGUGCCUCUCUGCGUGCCGGGUUGGUCCCUGCAGCCUCAUGAGGAGUGGUCGCUUGGCCUCGGUUUGGCCUGCACUGUCCUCCGGCCUCACGUGGCCUUGUCUUCACACCCAGCGUGGUCAUGUCUUGGGAGCCCGUCACCCACGCACGCCUCAGGGUGGAGCCCCCGCCUGGACUCAGGACCCCGGGCACCACACCCAGGCGGUGGCCCCAGACCCUCCCCUGUCCAAACAGGAGAUCUCUCAUAAUGCAGCCAGGUGGUGUCCGGGGGACUGAGGCCCACCAGCGCCUCCGCCUUUUCCCGGCCUGAUGGCGAAUUCUGGUGCUGCUUCCUCAGCCUUGGCUCAGAUGCCAUCCUGCCGCUGCAGGAUUUGCCUUCUGCUCUGCAUCCUGGCUCUGUCAUCAGCAGCCCUGGUCUCAAGGGGAGGCCCCCUGGGCGCACCAGCUCCCGCGUGUCUCAGAGGCUAUGCAGACAAGAGUCCCUGGACUGGGCUGUGUUUGCUGGGGCUCCUUCCCUCCAGCGACGAGUCCCCAGAUCAUCUCCCGGGUGUGCCUCAGUUCUCAAAGGUCCUGGCAGCCCCUCUGCGCCAGGCAGUGGCCGCACGCCAGCAGCCUCCUCCCACAGCCCAGGAGCUGGAGGAAACAGCUCAGCCAAGCCGCGCCACCAGCUAGAGCCGGGACUCCCUCCUUGACAUUCAGAGCUGCUAAGUUUUCCUGCGCACGGUUGGUUUGACAUUUGCAUUGGAAUGGAUUUAUGUUAACUUCCUCCCUGCUGCUGGCCGGAGACCAAAUCCUGCUGGUUGCUCAGGCAGUGAUCCCCGGAUGGGCCACCUGCCUCAUUGCCUGCCCUGCCAGAGGGAGGCUCUGGGACCUGAGACCACCCAGGCGCAGACUUGGUGCUGUGUAGCUCAUGGAGCGGCCCCGCCUCUGCUCCCACCGAGCCCUCCAGCCCCCUUGUCUUGGAAGGACGCAGCUCCCCUUCCUGGCCCUCCCCCAACCCCAAGUCCUCGCCCAAGCGCUGCUUCCUCUAUGAAGCUUCCCUGAGCGGCCCUCUUGGAGGGUCACUGUUCCCUGGCAAAUUCUGACCACACCUGGCUCCUCCAUCAUUUCAUGGACGCAGCCCUGGUCAGCUCCACUUGGGUCGGGGCUGACGUGGCUCAUUCCCUUGCACCCCAGCACAGCGCAGGACAGGCUAUUCAGCUGGUGUCCAGUCCGCCUGUGCUGUAUGCUCCCUGCAGCCGGGAGCAGCCACCACGCAUCCAUCCACCCUUCCGUCCUCCCUGAGGGCUGGCACUGCCUCCCGGAUCCUGCCGCGUACACAGCAGGUGCAGAAUGGGUGCUCGCUAACUCCAUGGGACGACGGGGUGUCAAACCUGCAGCCACCAGCUUCUGACGGGAGAUUUGCUGAGAGCCUGCAAGUCCCACGGGCCUACUGGGGGGCUGUGCACAGAGAGCCUAGGGGGCCAUGGCCCAGCCCUGGCACUCCCCGCCCACAGCAAUUAUUGCCCCAGGAGCCAGGCCCAGCCUGCACCUCCACACCGGCCCUGCUCCUUCCUCCUCUAGGUCCAGGCCCCAGGAGCCAGGCCCAGCCUGCGCCCCCACACCGGCCCUGCUCCUUCCUCCUCUGGGCCCAGGCCCCAGGAGCCAGGCCCAGCCUGCGCCCCCACACCGGCCCUGCUCCUUCCUCCUCUAGGUCCAGGCCCCAGGAGCCAGGCCCAGCCUGCGCCCCCACACCGGCCCUGCUCCUUCCUCCUCUGGGCCCAGGCCCCAGGAGCUGGGCCCAGGCCCCAGGAGCCAGGCCCAGCCUGCGCCCCCACAAUGGCCCUGCUCCUUCCUCCUCUAGGCCCAGGCGCCCGCCUGACACAUGUCCACCAUGUUCACCUUGCCUGUGUCACACAUGAGAAGACUGAGACUCAGUGAGGGCCCAGCAGAGCGGGUGGAGCUGGUCAGCCCGGCUGUGCCCUGACAUGUGGGGGUGGGGGGUGUGGAAUCCUAAUGAGGGAAAAGGAGUCGGGCUGGCAGGACAGAGGGAAGGCAAAAAGAAGAAGCAAAGAAGCUUUAAGUCUGCCCUUCUUCACUGUCCAGGACACACAGCCCUCCUGAAGAAAUAACUCACAAUCUUCCUGUGCCCGGCUAUUGCCAGACCCUUGGCUGAUAGGAGAAUGGAUGUUAGCUGACUGCAACCUUGGCGUUAUCAGUACUGCCUGUGGCCCUCUCCAGCACACAGCACAGGCGCCGUCCUAUAACAUCCCCAGCAAGCCCUCAUUUCUUUGCAGUGGCUCCUCCCUUGCUGACCUGCCCCUUGCUUCGGCUCCUCCCUUGCUGACCUGCCCCUUGCUUCGGCUCCUCCCUUGCUGACCUGCCCCUUGCUUCGGCUCCUCCCUUGCUGACCUGCCCCUUGCUUCGGCUCCUCCCUUGCUGACCUGCCCGUUGCUUCUGUGCUAUGCACAUUUUCUACUUUCUCUAAUAAAUCUGCCUUUCUUUACCUAC
rnacentral:lncRNA from 1 species